UACAGAGGGGGCAAGCGUUGUUCGGAAUUACUGGGCGUAAAGGGCGCGUAGGCGGCCUUCUAAGUCGAACGUGAAAUCCCUGGGCUCAACCCAGGAACUGCGUCCGAUACUGGAAGGCUUGGAUCCGGGAGAGGGAUGCGGAAUUCCAGGUGUAGCGGUGAAAUGCGUAGAUAUCUGGAGGAACACCGGUGGCGAAGGCGGCAUCCUGGACCGGUAUUGACGCUGAGGCGCGAAAGCCAGGGGAGCAAACGGG
rnacentral:rRNA from 1 species